GGGGAAACAAGCUGAACGGGGCUGCACACUUGCUCGUAGUUUAAGUUAGAGAAUCUAACCCGAAGUUUAGAAUCCUUUUCUUAUGAGUAUCCCACAUCGAAACAAAAACAGAGUUUAAACCACUUUAUUAAUCAGAACAAAUUGAUAACCAGCUGCCGAGCUUGGUAACUCAUGCUUGUAACUCAAGUGGGGGCAUUAUGGUGUUUGGACAUUGUUCAAACCCAACUGCCUGGAUUAGGCUUGCGACUCGCUGGCCUGCCCAUUCCAAGCAAGGAAUUGGGCUAAGUAGUCCAAGCGAAAGCAUGGGCUGCUUGGCUCUUAGAGUGGAGGGGACUGCGUCAGGCUGGUUUCACAGAGCAGCGAGAACCUCCCAUUCUUUGCAGUGGAAGGAUAACGGGCCGCUGCAUUCUGAUCCAUUGAAGUCAGAUGGGUUUGUUCUAAUCGGACAUUCACUUUUAUCAAUUUUUUUAAUUCUUUUGCCAAACUGUAAAAUCGUACAAGCCGAUUCUGUUACACUCCAGCUAGGGGGAAACCCUGUGACCAAAUUUAUUGGUUGGCACAGCAGAAUUUUCCUGGGUUCACA
rnacentral:lncRNA from 1 species